rnacentral:rRNA from 1 species
UCCAGAGGGUGCGAGCGUUAAUCGGAAUUACUGGGCGUAAAGCGCGCGUAGGCGGCUCUGCAAGUCGGGUGUGAAAUCCCCAGGCUUAACCUGGGAACUGCAUUCGAGACUGCAUUGCUAGAGUAUGGGAGAGGGAAGUGGAAUUUCCGGUGUAGCGGUGAAAUGCGUAGAUAUCGGAAGGAACAUCAGUGGCGAAAGCGACUACCUGGCCUGUUCUUGACGCUGAGGCGCGAAAGCUAGGGGAGCAAACGGG